rnacentral:rRNA from 1 species
UACGUAGGGUGCAAGCGUUGUCCGGAAUUAUUGGGCGUAAAGAGCUCGUAGGCGGUUUGUCGCGUCGAAUGUGAAAACCCGGGGCUCAACCCCGGGCCUGCAUUCGAUACGGGCAGACUAGAGUUCGGUAGGGGAGUCUGGAAUUCCUGGUGUAGCGGUGAAAUGCGCAGAUAUCAGGAGGAACACCGGGUGGCGAAGGCGGGACUCUGGGGCCGAUACUGACGCUGAGGAGCGAAAGCGUGGGGGAGCGAACAGG